UCUGAAGUGAGGUUUAUGGAAGAGAUGAGU
rnacentral:piRNA from 1 species